rnacentral:rRNA from 1 species
GGGUCAGUAGGUUGGUCGUGCCACCGGUACGUACUGGUCUCACUGAUUCCUCCUUCCUGAAGAACCGUAAUGCCAUUAAUUUGGUGUUGCGGGGAAACAGGACUGUUACUUUGAAACAAUUAGAGUGUUUAAGGCAAGCUAACGCUUGAAUACAUUAGCAUGGAAUAAUGAAAUAGGACGAUCGAUCCUAUUUUGUUGGUUUCUAGGAUUGAAGGA